rnacentral:rRNA from 1 species
GACGAACGCUGGCGGCGUGCUUAACACAUGCAAGUCGAACGGAAAGGCCCUGCUUUUGUGGGGUGCUCGAGUGGCGAACGGGUGAGUAACACGUGAGUAACCUGCCCUUGUCUUUGGGAUAACUUCAGGAAACUGGGGAUAAUACCGGAUAGGAGCUCCUGCUGCAUGGUGGGGGUUGGAAAGUUUCGGCGGUUGGGUAUGGACUCGCGGCUUAUCGGCUGCUUGGUGGGGUAGUGGCUUUCCAGGGUUUUGACGGGUAGCCGGCCUGGGAGGUUUACCGGGCACAAGGGUACUGAGAUAGGGCGCAGACGCGAACGGGAGGCAGCAGGGGGGAGCAUGGCAGAACGGGCGGAAGCCAGAGGCGGCGACGCCGGGUGCGGGAUGACGGGCUUCGGGGUGUGAACCGAUGUCGCCUGUGACGAAGCGGGAUUGACGGUAAUGGGUAAAGAAGCACCGGCUAACUACGUG